rnacentral:rRNA from 1 species
CCUACGGGUGGCAGCAGUGAGGAAUAUUGGUCAAUGGACGAGAGUCUGAACCAGCCAAGUAGCGUGAAGGAUGACUGCCCUAUGGGUUGUAAACUUCUGUUAUAAAGGAAUAAAACGAGGCACGUGUGCCUUUUUGCAUGUACUUUAUGAAUAAGGAUCGGCUAACUCCGUGCCAGCAGCCGCGGUAAUACGGAGGAUCCGAGCGUUAUCCGGAUUUAUUGGGUUUAAAGGGAGCGUAGAUGGGUUGUUAAGUCAGUUGUGAAAGUUUGCGGCUCAACCGUAAAAUUGCAAUUGAUACUGGCAGUCUUGAGUGAGCGAGAAGUAUGCGGAAUGCGUGGUGUAGCGGUGAAAUGCAUAGAUAUCACGCAGAACUCCGAUUGCGAAGGCAGCAUACCGGCGCUCAACUGACGCUCAUGCACGAAAGUGUGGGUAUCGAACAGGAUUAGAUACCCGAGUAGUC